CUGGAAGCUCCAAAUCUAACAUCGUUUGACUUGACCAACCAACCAAUUCCAUUUGUGCUUGGUGGAUCUCUGAAUGUAAUGGAAGCCAACAUUAAACUGUUAGCUAAGGACUCACCUUAUGGUGAUAAUCUGGACUACAUCUACACUGAGCUUCCUGCUGCGCUGUCUCAUGUGCAUAAACUCUCGAUAACCUCGGGUCUCUUCGUUUAUGAUCAGGUUUUGUCUGUUGCUGAAAGCACUUAAGUUCAUUCAACUAUUACUUACCUUUAUUUGCACCUGACAUGUUUGUUCUUCAUCUCAUACAUAUUUUGACUCUCAUGGUUAUAUUUCAGCUGCAAGGGUUUUCCAAAACCUCAGCCAGAUUCAUCAAUCUGAGGCAUCUGACCAUGUAUUUGCCUCUUUAUGGGGAACCUAAGUCAAUUAGUGGGAUUCUUCGCUUGGCCUACCUACUGGAAUUGGCCCCAGCUCUAGAAGAAUUGGAAUUGCAUGUGAGUGGCUUACUAACUCUAUAAUCUGUUAUAGAUUUUCUCAAGGUAUGCCUUAUCUGUAGAAGUUUUUGUAGAGCAAUUGCAGCACUAGUGUACCAGGCAUAUUGUUUAUCAUCUUUGCUAAUUUUGAAUUGUCUGAAUAUUUAUUAUCCCUCAUUAAUCCAAAACUCUACAGUUCAAAAUUGCAGUAACAUAAAAGUUGUUGAGUGUUGAUGUUGUAGUUAAAAAAGAUUUAAAAAGACAAAAAAGUAGCAAUGUUGCAAUCAAUUGAACAUUGAACACUAUUGUACUUCAUUACCAUACAAGCCGAGGUGCCCAUGCGUUGGUAGUUUGCUUCAAGGUCUCGAAUACAUGAUAGUUUAAAAUUGUAUUGCUGGAACUGGGUGAUGUUCCACAGCUUAGAAAGUGGUCUUAUAAGUAGGCCUGUGGGUACCGUGUACGAAUGUAAAGGAGCAAGUCGAAGUGGUUUCAGCCAAAACAAAUAGACUAACUAUGUACAUUUCAUCUUCUCCACUUCCUCACGCAGCCACAGCCAUUAAUUCCCUCACACUGUCAUGAGCUCACGGUCGCACGACUCCUUCCCCCACUUCCUCUAUGCCUCCCACAACGGUGACCCACUAGGCGAAACAACACUUCUACGCCUCCCUCGACGGACAACCCACCCGAGCCCACACAUCUCCUGCAACGCUGCUCCUCCAGCGACUCUGCUCCUCGCCUCCUCCCACAACGGCGAAGUGCAGUUCUCCUCCCGCGAAACGGCAAGGGUGGCGCUGCUCCUCGCCGCCUCCAUGACGGCGCUCCUCCCGCGACCGGCUGCUUUGGCCACCCAACCAACAUUGUGCAUGCCAAGAAAACAAUGCUGUGGUUGAUGUCAUAAUAAACACAUAUUGGUUUGAGCUCUCACAUAAAACAAUUUUCGUAACAUUCACUAGUGAUGGACAGAGAAUAGACAAAAAAAACACAAGGAACAACAGCCAAUGAUGUAUAUGCCUGUGGCAUUGGGCUGGCUGGUUAAGCAUAUGGCCAACAGUCAUUUGUUGUCAUGUGGCCAAAUGUGAAUAGGUGAGGGUAGUAAAAUGAACCUUUUCCCUUCAAAGAAAUCAAACUUUUAGCCUUUUAUUUUACCGUUCCCAUCGUCUUCUCCAGCCAUUCUACAAGCAGAAGCGCUCCUCUUCAGUUCUGCCUGCGCAGAUCUAUCUUGGUUGUGCCCUCUCUCUCCCCCCCCCCCCCCAUAGCCACAGUCCUCAUACUCCCCUGCUUUCUUCCCCCCUCUCUGGCUUCUUUUUAACGAGGUUGUUCCUGCAUUCCCGGAACGUUCUGGUUACUAUGUUUGGGACCAAACCAAACAUUUAGCUCAAUAUCGCCACACUUAGGCUUUAAACCCCAAAAGGGCAAGCUUGAUGUGGCGGUGAGAGCUGUCUCACUUGAGUCAUCAUGUUGGUGAGAGCCUCUGGCACUGGGUCUGCUCUCUUAGGCUUUAAACCCACCAUAUGUCUGAUAUAUUUCAUUGGUCUCAUUUGUGUUGUGUGAAUCAUUUUCACCAAAUGAUAACUUUACCAAGCAAGGUUUUCAAGUCGAUAAGUCGAGUCGACAAGGUACCGACUUGGUGACUAGACGAUAAGUCAGUUGACUAGUCGUCGACUUGCCAAUAUAGUGGAUGUUUUCCCUAUAUAAUUGCUUCAUAUAGACAAUAUAACAUUUAUAUAUGAAGAAAUAGGAUGUUUUACCUCAUUUGAAGCCUGAAAUUGAACGAAACUGAAAUAAACAACAAGUCUUACCUCAUUUGAAUCCUCAAACUGAACCAAAUCAGACACAUAAGUGAUAAGUCAUAAACUCAUAAGUCAUAACAGCCAUAUAGUUCAAAUUGGAAAACAAAUAGCAAGAAAAUAUAGUUCAAACUUGAAAGGAAAAAAGUCAUAAACUUAUAAGAAAAUAUAGUCCAACCCCUGUGAGGCAGUAGUGUGGCAGUCCCACCUGUCAACAUAGCUGUGGUAGAACAUACCACCACCACUGUCGCUUUUUAAGUAGUGAAGAUUAUUUGGGUGAUACAAUACAGUUUUAUCCAUUUCUGAAGCCAAUUGGAUUUUUUUGUAUUGGCAUUGAUGAAAGUAUGUGAAAUGUAAACUGUAAGUAGUACUUUCAUACGGAUGUCAAAUAUAACAGUCCUAGUUGUGAUGUUAUUAGGGUUACAUUGCUGCUAGAGGACACUAGGACUAGGAUAGUAUGUGUUUCAUUAAACCUUACAAGUAUGUUUGAUUCCACGUUUAUUGGUUUCACAGGCCUGUUCUUAUUGUUUUCAUAUGUAUGAUGUGAUUCUAAAUGUGUAAUUUGUGUUUGCUUAAUUUCUCCUUGUUUAUUUUUUUCCCCACAUUCAUAUGAAAAAUUGAUAUGAUGGAUCUCAUAAGUCUGGCAUCUUUGCAUGCAGGUGAAUGGCGGUGGCGUGGAUGUUGGGUGGGCACUCAGACGGAAUAUGUUACCGUACUCACACAAUAGGCUCAAGAGGGUCCUUAUUUCAGGAGCCACUGUAUGGGAGGGGCUAAUGGAGCUGGCAUACUACAUUCUUCGGAGUGCCAAUAGACUCGAAAGUAUGGUCUUAGAUCCAAAGAUAAGGAUUGGGGGUCCUCAGCUGGAUGGUUGGAUGAUUGAUAUUGGUAGGGAGACGAUCAAAAAUAUUUUUGAGGGAGAGGAGUUUCAGAGCAUUAUUACUAUUCUGUAAGAAUGGUAAGAUAGGCCACAGGAUUUUGGUGGUCACACCAAGUGGCCAUGUUUGAUUAUGCCAUAGGUUUGACCAGUAUGGUCAUAAAUGUUUGUUGUUUUCAUUUCCGACCUCAGGAAAUGUAAAUUAAUACUCCCUCCAUCCAUUUUUCAUUCGCGUAUACUUCUCGGCAGUGACCAAAUUAAGUUUGAAAAAAAAACCGUUUCAUUUUUGCUGUUGCAUGUGACGUGGCCCACGCCUGCAUGCAUGCGAAUAAAAGAUAGGACACAUGAAGUUUAGUUAGUAAGGGUAAGAAUACCAAAAUACUUUUGAGCAUUCUUCUGUCAUUAAUGUAACUGAAAUAAAAGAGGGACUGUCAGUGGAAUUAAUAUGAUUUAAUCUGGGUGUUUUGUUUAUGUGAACUAAUUUUAGUUUCUUCAUUUUAUUUUAUUUUAGUUCUUAAAAUGAGAAAUACAUAAAAACAGAGUUUUAGUUUUGGUAUCUGCCAAUUUAGAAACUAUGAUGGAACAAAAUGGAGGACUAAAACUUAGUCUCUAGAAACUAAACAUCCCUUAGGGCUGAUUUGGUGACCAGGGAUCACGGAGGGAUUAGAGGGGAUUGAGGGGGAAAUUAGUUUAUUUUUCCCUCAAUCCCCUCCGAUCCCCCCGUGAUCCCCUUAUCACCAAAUUAACCCUUAAGGGCUGAUUUGGUGCUAAGGGAUCCUAAGGGGAUCCAUGAGGGAGGAAUCCCCUUGUUAUUCAAAAUUGAAUUGUAAGGGGAUUUCUCCCCCAUGGAUCCCCUUGGAAUCCCUUACCACCAAAUUAGCCCUAAGGGGUGUUUAAAUGCACUAGAGCUAAAACUUAGUCUCUAGAAACUAAACAUCUCUUAGGGCUUGUUCGUUUUGGUGAUAAUCCACAUGUAUUGGGUGGGAUUGAGUCGGUUUAAAUCCAUAACAAGUCAAAAUACAUCUCAAUCCCACCCAAUACACUCAAAUACACAUGUAAUAUCAAUAACCGAACAAGCCCUUAAGGAGAGAGACAUGUCCUAAACGUAUCCUCUUGGAUGGUCGCGUCCAUAUCCUCGAGCAGUGCGGUCUUGCUCAAGCAGCUUUUUGUAACGAUUAAAUACAUAUAGGACAUGCAUACGUCAGCAAGUGACUUAGUGUCGUACCCGUGAAGCACGGACGACGCGACGCUCUCCAAACCGGUAACGAUUAUGCGUGGACGAUCAGUCUGCAUAGAUUGGAAUUUGGAAAUUUUGGUCUGCUUCAUUUUUUCUCUCGCUCAUUUUUGGCCCAACGGCCCAGCCCAUUGAGUAAAGCAACUGGUGCCCUAUAUAUACGCAAAAAGACAUGACUGCCUCUGCACACCGCCACUCGCCCACACGCGAAGGCACCUAGCAGCCGCCACUCGCCGAACUGAGGAACACGCCUGGCGACGGGAUACAGCAGCAGCGCGCCCCUCUAUCCCCGACGCGACGGCGCCCUGCAGCUGCAGGCACGGCUCCACACCUCCACUCUUCUCCUCCGUCUCCGUUCAUCUCUGCUGAGUAGUUGUGGUUGUGGCGUGUGGAUUAAUCGCGAUUAAUCGAUCUGAUCGGCGCUCUGGCGAUCAGAAACGAUCGACCGAUUAGAAAACAUUGGUGCUCAGGCAUCUGCAUCGGUCAACACCCCCCCCCCCCCCCCCUCUUGUUCUGUUCCGGUACUGCCUUUCAGCCCUCGAGUCCUACUGUAGGUGUUGAAGUAGUAAUUUGUUUUGUGCGCGCAAGUUCGAUUUCAUGUCUGCAUGUCAAUAGCUUUCCAUUUUUUUGGUCAUCUAUUUAGUGCAGUUUUGAAGUACAUCAUUUUUUACCGAUUUUUCGUUACUCCAUCUGUGUGCCUGGGAAUUGCGGAUCCCCACCCACCCCACCACGUCUUCUGAAGGGAGUUCAAGAGGAACCCCUUGAAUUCUAUGGGGUUUGUCCGCUCUGAAAUUUCUUUUGCUAUUUGUUUCGAUUUUUUCCGAAGUAUCCAAACAAGACCUCACGAAUCUGCUUAUGUAUCAAUAAUGUGGGUAUAUCUAUUUGUUUGUUCUCAUAGUCUGGCAUAUGUAUUAUAGAUAAACCUGUUCCAAUGGGCAAACAAAAAGAGGGUGUGGACAAAAGAACUGCUAGGAAGAUGAUCCGAUCUACGGAAGGCUGUGCAAAGAGCAUUACUUUCGAGAGGAACAACAAAUCAGACGAUGUGCAGCUUCACGAUCUGCCGAAUGUAAGAGUAAUUCGAAAUAGUUCAAUGCUCCUUUUGCAGUAAGCAUAUAUGUGAAAUGGUUCAAAAGAGUUUGAUAGGACCAGGUAAUCAGUGGUUCAGUUUACUCGGCUGCUUACUCACGCUACUUACUACGUGCAGGACAUCCUAGGUAGCAUACUAUCACGGUUGACAUUCAGAGAAUCCUCACAGAUGGGCCUUGUUUCUCAUACCUGGCGGCGGCUGUGGAGAAGCUGUUGCCGGAAACUGGUCUUCACCAGUGCCACCAUGUUCCAACCCGGAAAUAGGAGCAUCAAACAUACAAGGACCAACUUUGCCAUGAGAGUCAACAGUUUCUUGCGUCAGCUACGCACUCAUCCUACUCUUAAUAAGUUUGUUAUUAAGUUCGGGCUGCGCAGGAAGCACACUCGCCAUGUCAACAGAUGGAUUCGCUUCUGCUCCGUGUCGCGAGCAAGACACAUCACUAUUAAUUUCACUCCUGGAGUGAAAGAUUUUUUCAUGGGUCCAGCCAACAGCAAGUACAUCUUCCCCCUGAACGUUUUCAGUGGUCCAGAAGGCUCCUCUACACAUGUCAGAACUCUUCAUCUGGGCUAUGUCUGUCUGGACACAACCUCGUCUGAUUUCAUGAUCUUUGCAAAUCUUAAGAAGCUCACUCUGCACAAAAUUUCCUUUUUGGGAGACCUCCAGUGCCUGAUGCUGCCAGAAUGCAAUUCUCUUGAGUGUCUGAGCAUCAGCUUCUGUUCCUUGCCUGGUUUAAGCACAUGCCAACCGCUGCAACGUCUGCGAUGUGUUCGUUUGCACUACUGCUAUCUAAAAAAGAUUGAGCUGGAAGCUCCAAAUCUAACAUCGUUUGACUUGACCAACCAACCAAUUCCAUUUGUGCUUGGUGGAUCUCUGAAUGUAAUGGAAGCCAACAUUAAACUGUUAGCUAAGGACUCACCUUAUGGUGAUAAUCUGGACUACAUCUACACUGAGCUUCCUGCUGCGCUGUCUCAUGUGCAUAAACUCUCGAUAACCUCGGGUCUCUUCGUUUAUGAUCAGGUUUUGUCUGUUGCUGAAAGCACUUAAGUUCAUUCAACUAUUACUUACCUUUAUUUGCACCUGACAUGUUUGUUCUUCAUCUCAUACAUAUUUUGACUCUCAUGGUUAUAUUUCAGCUGCAAGGGUUUUCCAAAACCUCAGCCAGAUUCAUCAAUCUGAGGCAUCUGACCAUGUAUUUGCCUCUUUAUGGGGAACCUAAGUCAAUUAGUGGGAUUCUUCGCUUGGCCUACCUACUGGAAUUGGCCCCAGCUCUAGAAGAAUUGGAAUUGCAUGUGAGUGGCUUACUAACUCUAUAAUCUGUUAUAGAUUUUCUCAAGGUAUGCCUUAUCUGUAGAAGUUUUUGUAGAGCAAUUGCAGCACUAGUGUACCAGGCAUAUUGUUUAUCAUCUUUGCUAAUUUUGAAUUGUCUGAAUAUUUAUUAUCCCUCAUUAAUCCAAAACUCUACAGUUCAAAAUUGCAGUAACAUAAAAGUUGUUGAGUGUUGAUGUUGUAGUUAAAAAAGAUUUAAAAAGACAAAAAAGUAGCAAUGUUGCAAUCAAUUGAACAUUGAACACUAUUGUACUUCAUUACCAUACAAGCCGAGGUGCCCAUGCGUUGGUAGUUUGCUUCAAGGUCUCGAAUACAUGAUAGUUUAAAAUUGUAUUGCUGGAACUGGGUGAUGUUCCACAGCUUAGAAAGUGGUCUUAUAAGUAGGCCUGUGGGUACCGUGUACGAAUGUAAAGGAGCAAGUCGAAGUGGUUUCAGCCAAAACAAAUAGACUAACUAUGUACAUUUCAUCUUCUCCACUUCCUCACGCAGCCACAGCCAUUAAUUCCCUCACACUGUCAUGAGCUCACGGUCGCACGACUCCUUCCCCCACUUCCUCUAUGCCUCCCACAACGGUGACCCACUAGGCGAAACAACACUUCUACGCCUCCCUCGACGGACAACCCACCCGAGCCCACACAUCUCCUGCAACGCUGCUCCUCCAGCGACUCUGCUCCUCGCCUCCUCCCACAACGGCGAAGUGCAGUUCUCCUCCCGCGAAACGGCAAGGGUGGCGCUGCUCCUCGCCGCCUCCAUGACGGCGCUCCUCCCGCGACCGGCUGCUUUGGCCACCCAACCAACAUUGUGCAUGCCAAGAAAACAAUGCUGUGGUUGAUGUCAUAAUAAACACAUAUUGGUUUGAGCUCUCACAUAAAACAAUUUUCGUAACAUUCACUAGUGAUGGACAGAGAAUAGACAAAAAAAACACAAGGAACAACAGCCAAUGAUGUAUAUGCCUGUGGCAUUGGGCUGGCUGGUUAAGCAUAUGGCCAACAGUCAUUUGUUGUCAUGUGGCCAAAUGUGAAUAGGUGAGGGUAGUAAAAUGAACCUUUUCCCUUCAAAGAAAUCAAACUUUUAGCCUUUUAUUUUACCGUUCCCAUCGUCUUCUCCAGCCAUUCUACAAGCAGAAGCGCUCCUCUUCAGUUCUGCCUGCGCAGAUCUAUCUUGGUUGUGCCCUCUCUCUCCCCCCCCCCCCCCAUAGCCACAGUCCUCAUACUCCCCUGCUUUCUUCCCCCCUCUCUGGCUUCUUUUUAACGAGGUUGUUCCUGCAUUCCCGGAACGUUCUGGUUACUAUGUUUGGGACCAAACCAAACAUUUAGCUCAAUAUCGCCACACUUAGGCUUUAAACCCCAAAAGGGCAAGCUUGAUGUGGCGGUGAGAGCUGUCUCACUUGAGUCUCAUCAUGUUGGUGAGAGCCUCUGGCACUGGGUCUGCUCUCUUAGGCUUUAAACCCACCAUAUGUCUGAUAUAUUUCAUUGGUCUCAUUUGUGUUGUGUGAAUCAUUUUCACCAAAUGAUAACUUUACCAAGCAAGGUUUUCAAGUCGAUAAGUCGAGUCGACAAGGUACCGACUUGGUGACUAGACGAUAAGUCAGUUGACUAGUCGUCGACUUGCCAAUAUAGUGGAUGUUUUGCCUAUAUAAUUGCUUCAUAUAGACAAUAUAACAUUUAUAUAUGAAGAAAUAGGAUGUUUUACCUCAUUUGAAGCCUGAAAUUGAACGAAACUGAAAUAAACAGCAAGUCUUACCUCAUUUGAAUCCUCAAACUGAACCAAAUCAGACACAUAAGUGAUAAGUCAUAAACUCAUAAGUCAUAACAGCCAUAUAGUUCAAAUUGGAAAACAAAUAGCAAGAAAAUAUAGUUCAAACUAGAAAGGAAAAAAGUCAUAAACUCAAAAGAAAAUAUAGUCCAACCCCUGUGAGGCAGUAGUGUGGCAGUCCCACCUGUCAACAUAGCUGUGGUAGAACAUACCACCACCACUGUCGCUUUUUAAGUAGUGAAGAUUAUUUGGGUGAUACAAUACAGUUUUAUCCAUUUCUGAAGCCAAUUGGAUUUUUUUGUAUUGGCAUUGAUGAAAGUAUGUGAAAUGUAAACUGUAAGUAGUACUUUCAUACGGAUGUCAAAUAUAACAGUCCUAAUUGUGAUGUUAUUAGGGUUACAUUGCUAGAGGACACUAGGACUAGGAUAGUAUGUGUUUCAUUAAACCUUACAAGUAUGUUUGAUUCCACGUUUAUUGGUUUCACAGGCCUGUUCUUAUUGUUUUCAUAUGUAUGAUGUGAUUCUAAAUGUGUAAUUUGUGUUUGCUUAAUUUCUCCUUGUUUAUUUUUUUCCCCACAUUCAUAUGAAAAAUUGAUAUGAUGGAUCUCAUAAGUCUGGCAUCUUUGCAUGCAGGUGAAUGGCGGUGGCGUGGAUGUUGGGUGGGCACUCAGACGGAAUAUGUUACCGUACUCACACAAUAGGCUCAAGAGGGUCCUUAUUUCAGGAGCCACUGUAUGGGAGGGGCUAAUGGAGCUGGCAUACUACAUUCUUCGGAGUGCCAAUAGACUCGAAAGUAUGGUCUUAGAUCCAAAGAUAAGGAUUGGGGGUCCUCAGCUGGAUGGUUGGAUGAUUGAUAUUGGUAGGGAGACGAUCAAAAUAUUUUUGAGGGAGAGGAGUUUCAGAGCAUUAUUACUAUUCUGUAAGAAUGGUAAGAUAGGCCACAGGAUUUUGGUGGUCACACCAAGUGGCCAUGUUUGAUUAUGCCAUAGGUUUGACCAGUAUGGUCAUAAAUGUUUGUUGUUUUCAUUUCCGACCUCAGGAAAUGUAAAUUAAUACUCCCUCCAUCCAUUUUUAAUUCGCGUAUACUUCUCGGCAGUGACCAAAUUAAGUUUGAAAAAAAAACCGUUUCAUUUUUGCUGUUGCAUGUGACGUGGCCCACGCCUGCAUGCAUGCGAAUAAAAGAUAGGACACAUGAAGUUUAGUUAGUAAGGGUAAGAAUACCAAAAUACUUUUGAGCAUUCUUCUGUCAUUAAUGUAACUGAAAUAAAGGAGGAACUGUCAGUGGAAUUAAUAUGAUUUAAUCUGGGUGUUUUGUUUAUGUGAACUAAUUUUAGUUUCUUCAUUUUAUUUUAUUUUAGUUCUUAAAAUGAGAAAUACAUAAAAACAGAGUUUUAGUUUUGGUAUCUACCAAUUUAGAAACUACGAUGGAACAAAAUGGAGGACUAAAACUUAGUAUCUAGAAACUAAACAUCUCUUAGGGGGUGUUUAAAUGUACUAGAGCUAAAAUUUAGUCUCUAGAAACUAAACAUCCCUUAGUGAGGCAAGUCCUAAACGUAUCCUCUUGGAUGGUCGCGUCCAUGUCCUCGAGCAGUGCGGUCUUGCUCAAGCAGCUUUUUGUAGCGAUUAAAUACAUAUAGGACAUGCAUGCGUCAGCAAGUGACUUAGUGUCGUACCCGUGAAGUGCGGACUGUUGAGAAACUCUAAUGACGGGUUAUGUGUGCAAAUACCAAAUAUGCUCCUGAGGACUAUCACGUCUCUAUAUAUAGAAUAUGUACCCCUUCGUAUGGAAUAGAGAACAGAAAGAGGCCAGAGGCCCAACCCUAUAUCUUGUGUCCCGUGUGUUUCCUCUCUCGUGCUUAUGGGAAGGGAGACGGGUCCUCUACAACUUCUUGCGCCUCUACUGUUGACGGGAGGGAAGGGAGCGGAUCUGGUGAUCCGUGGUAACGUAGUUCUCAACACGUUAUCAGCACGCUCUAUCUCAACGUUGCUGCGAGAUCAGAUCUGCAUCAACUCUUCGUCACGCCGGCAGGUCCUUGGCCUAGCCGAACUGUCCUACGCGACAGGCUUCGAUUCUCCCUCUACGCAAUCGAGCGGUAUGUUUUCUUGACCCGCUGGUGUGAUCUGUGCGCCACCAACUUGUUGUCUCCGUCAUGAUGUUGCGUCCGUGCCGGAAGCGCCCGCACCCGUGGCAGCUAGCUCUCACCAGAAGAUGGUCAGGUCGCGCUAGCUAGGCAUCCAGAUUUGGAUGCUGAUCGACGACGCCGCGAGCUCCAGCAGAGCAAGCGCAUCUGGUAACAACUCACGAGAAAAAAGUGCAAGCCUGGGGAUAGGGGCGGCGGCGGCGGAAGUUGGUGUCGCGUACCUGCUAUUGGCCUUCUGCCCCGACGGUCAAAAUGGCCAUGCGCGGGUCCCACCACUCCCUCGUCUCGUGGCUGCAUGCGCGCACCCGUCGAUCCACGGGAUUCCUUUUCGCGCCCCCGCGCGCUGCUAGAGACUGGAGCACGACGUCUGUCACGCCGUAUGAAUGGUUGCAUGCUGCAUGCAAGCCACUGACGGUUUUUUUCCCGUACCUGGUCAAAGCGGUUGCCUAUUAUUGCGGUGACUGAGAAAAAAACAAAGCCAAAGCCGCAUGCCUACAUGCAGCUGAUUGACUAGAGGUGUAUGCAUAGGAAACUUGCGAGCGGUGGAAGAAAAAAAUAUCUCUCCAUUAUACAUGUUUUAGUUUAUAUACAUGCUUCAUGCUAUUUUAUCCUAUUUUCCUAAUAAAAAUAAUAAAUAGAAUCAAGCAUGGUUUGUGUUGCGAUUUCUACUUUAAUUAAUUAUUUCUAGUCGCAAAUAAUUAAUAGAAAAAUGUGUGCUUAAACAUGAGAACAUUUUUUUUACAUCAGAUGUGUUAUGUUUAUGGAUUAAAUCUGGUAUUAUUUUUCUGCUUUUAUUUCCGUAGUAAAUAAUUAGCAGAAAGAUAUGAAGGAUAUAUUGUGCAUUCUUAAAUCGCUCUAAAUAUUUAUAUUGUGUUGAGCUUUUAAACUCACGAUGAGUGAUUAAAUUGUAUAGUGGGUACUCGGACACGUCGACCAGGCUGCGUUAUUAAUCGGCUAAGUUAUGGCAUCAACUAUGCAUUGGCUGCGUCCUGGCAACACGACGCAUUAUUUGUGUCGUACGAACUUGGCUGCGUCAUGUGAUUGCUAGCACUCUCGUUUAUUCGGACAGCUCCCGUUGAGUCGAACCGACAUCACUGAGUCACGUAUUUUUCGCAUGCCCUGUAGGCACUGUAUGUCUGCCGUGAUCAUUGAGCCACAAUUGCGUCUGAUGCGCACGUUGUGUGGAAUUAUCGUGUACCCCGAUUACCGAGCCAUAAUUGUGCAUGUUACAUUUAUUACGAAGGCUUGUUGUGUUGUCGUGGUCCUGAUGGCCGCGCACGCGUUGACCCCAGAUACGCUAGAGCUUGUACUCGCGUGGAUUGUGGUGAGUUGUUUAAGGCCCUGAAGUCAUAUUAUGCACAGCCUUCCUAAAAAAAUUUUGUUUGGCUCUAUAUUUUAUUUGAUUGUGUUGUGUGGCAUCAUAUAUUUAUAUAUAUCACUAAGUGGCCCUACACAGUUGUAUCAAGCUCUAUAGUGCUUGAAAAUCUGGGAAAUUAAAUUGAAAUACAAUUAAACCCAGAUAAGUUAAUUUUCUGCUAUCUCCUCAUGCAUAAAGUUUUACCCGAAGUAACCCGAAGAUAUAUAAUAUAAUGCAUGAAAGCCUUUUUGGCAUAGAAGACAUCACAAAUUGGGAUUCUAUUAGUAAGCAAAAGGCCCUAUCAAAUAAUUUAAGACUAUAAAUCUCAGCCAUACAUUGCUCAACCAGAUGUUGGCACAUUGCUCUCUUUGUCGCUAAAUGACAUGAAGCAAACUAUGAGAUAAAAGGACAUGUAAUCGCCAGCAACACGAAGUUGCGAGUAUUCCGAGAGGUUAUUCUGAAAAAAAAAUCACUAUGUUGGUGUGAAAACCAUAGUGUGUUUCCGUCGAACCACUUUACUCGUUCUAUCUAGAACCUCUAUGCUUGUGUCGCAUACAUCUCUCGGAUAUGUAAAUACUUAUAGUCACUGAAUUGAUUCGGGAUAGUCCUUUGACAAGUUUGGUAUACACUAUAAGCUAAAUGGUAAAGGUCGGUCCUGAAUAGACGCAUACCUGGGGUUUAUGUAGCCGAACUACACUGAAUUCCACCCUUUGGCAUGCUUACCAUUAUCUACCUCUGAUCUACCAGAAGUGAGAAGAGUAGGCAAAUAACUAUGAAAUCCCACAUCACCACAGAGCUUGAAGCUAAAUUAUACAUUAACAUGUUCUUGGUCCUUGGAGCCAGAAGAGUCAUAUGUCUUGAUCAUUAGACUACUAGUGAUGAUAAUUUGUGAUAGAAAUAUGAAGAUCUUGUAGAGACCUGUUGUAUCCUCUCUACUCCUGAUGAUUUCUUCAUAUGAGAGCGGUACUAUCUGUUGUUGAAGAUGGAUCCUAGGCGGAUACCAGUCUUGUUUCGUUCUUGCCAAGCAGUUAUCGUCAUUUGAUUCAUCAAAAGCUAGUUAUAUGGUGAUUUUCCUAGAUAAAAUGAAUUCUUGGCCUUGUCUGUUCUAUUCCAAAGCUUCUUUUUUGUGCUGAACAAUGAAGAGAUCGAAAUAAUGCUAUAUAGAACAAUUUGGUAUAUAACAUGAUGAGAAAUGUUUGCCCUGCUGGCAACACCACAAAUAAUUAACUAUUGUUAUAAGUUCUCUCUCAAAAUUAUUAUACCUAAAAUGUUGCAUAAAUUGAUACCCAAUUUUAGAGCAGUAUGAGUAAUCGGGUAAACCAUGGGCAGUGAUAAAAACGAGCUGGACUAUACAUCUCUGCAUAUAAAAAUCUUUGCUUGGCAGCAUUGGUCUGAUGUCGUGCACUUCACUAGCAAUAUAAACACUCACAUUUUUCCUAUGUGCUUAAAAGCACAAUGCAACCUGUGAAUGACUUUGUGAACGUUAGAUCCUGAUGGUCAUUUUACUUGUUGAUCUGAAGUCAACUAAUGGCUCCAAACGAAUGGUAUGCAUGAGCCCCUGAAGGACCCUUAUGGAUAAAAUAGUGUUGCGCAUAUCAGUGUAAAUCUUAAUGAUUGACUAUGCAUUUGGUAGUAAUAAAAAUAAGUUUGCAGAAUUGUAACCAUGAAGCAACUUGUUGUUGCGUGUCUCGCUGGAUGUUGAGACUAACCCUUCAUGUUGAAGGACAAAUAUGUAGUAUUCAUGCCACUACAUUAAUCUAAGUCCAAAGCUCACUGCAUAAAACUCCUAUCUGUAGCGUGCGUAAGAUUUCCCAAAUAAAUCACCACAAUAUCAUACACUAGCCACAAACUAGAUGAUUGUGGUUGAUGAUUUUAUUUGUAUGCUUUUAGAACAUCUCGGCAUUAUGGGGAGGAAUGCCCAUAUAGUGUAAUGGCUCAAUAUUCUAUUAAACGCACAAAAGCCAAACUGAACCCGUCGUUCGGAGUGUACUCCUGCAUAUAUGGAGUUUGCCAGAAAUCGUUGAGGAGUAACCAUAUUGGUUUGAGUGCUUCUACCAGUUGUAGAUGUGAAUAUACCCGGGAUUAAUAUCAUAUCCACAUUUGACUUAUUGGCAUUUGAUCUAUUCUUAGGGACGCCUGCGAAUAUGAUCCAUCGGCCUUAGUCAAAGCAUAUGUUCUGAUUGCAGAUUCACUUGAUUUGUAAUAACUCUCCUCCGAUGAACUCGCCCUGCUGGUGAUUUGCCUCACGAAGAGGUUCAUCUUGAUGAUGAAAUUUCUAGCAAUGCGCACAAUAUCAUUGUGUUAGGAAUACAGAACAAUGAAUCUUUUGUUUUUGGGAAAUGACGAAGAUCGUUAUUAAAUGUGGGAGACAAAUGUGUUGACACCUAUCUUGUCUCUAUAGAUUGCAAAGGGAUCCAAAACAAAGUCCUAGGCAUGAGUGCUUUAAGCUCUCUUAUCAGGUCAUUGAUAAAUGCAAUCGAGGCUGAACCAAUAAUCGCAAAAUGAAAGUCACGAGCUUGAAGUUCGGACAUUUAUGGGCACUAUUGAAAUAAUGUGUGGUGAAUGCGAUGGUUCAAGUGGUCUUGUGAGAGACCCAUCCCACAUGUGUUGAAUAAACAAUGUUCCGCUAUGUAAUAUAUCUGGCAAAUGGCAUGAAUUAAAACAUGCAGUUAAUAGGAUUCUGAAGAUCCAUCAUGAGAUCCUAUGCAGUUUCAUAUCUUUUAUUUAUAAAUAUGCAACAUAUAAAUCUCAUACUGAAUAAUAUAUUCCUGAUGAAUGAUCACUCUCCUAUGUAGGGAGAAUAUCUCCUAGUUGAGAUUAUAAUUCCGAGAUGGAGUCUUUCCAGAAGAAACAAAGUCUGUGUUGAACACUAAAGUUUGAUAACCCCUAUAAAGGGAUAAAGACCCAUACAUACCCGAAAAGGAAUAAGAUGAGGUACCAAAGGACUUGAAGUUCACCGAAUAAGCACAUGUGCAUUCCACGAGUUUUACUCAUGGUAUUUUCCACUUGAUGUGGAAUUACGGUAUCCUCUAAAGCCCUGAUGACAGAAACCUAUAAGGUUUAGGUGUUACUGGCAAAAUAUCCCCGUCGUGCCAUAAUGACAUACUAUAACGAUGUAUCUGAUCGAUGAAAAAUCCCUAAUGGAUUACGAUCUAUGAUGGACUUUUGUUACACCAUCAUAGAUGUUGCAAUGGAUGAACGCCUCGAGCGAUGUGUCGUAUUUAGAAUAAGUACUAUUGCAACUAUAUUAUCCCCUAAGUCCUAUAGAAUGACAUGUUACUUGUUUUGCACAACUAUGUAUAAAUUGUGGUGUAAGAUAGAAAAUGAUAGCACCCCAAACUCAUCCAUUUUCGUUAUUUCAGAUGAACAAUGAGACAUAUAUCUUGAAGAAUAUGCUUGAGUUAUGAGGGAUAAUAACUUUGACAAAUGUCAUCGUCAGAGAGAGCGAAUUCUUAUAUUGAUCAUAAUCGUGAGACAGUAAAUGUCAUAUUCUAUGCCUUGAAGGCGUCAGCUUGAUGAUCAAUAUGUGAACCUUUAUGGAAGUUUCUAUCAAAUAUAUAGAUCCAGUCGAUCGAACACCAUCAAUCAAAGUGGCUUAUUUAUGUUGAUACGUGCACUUACCUCGUAUAUCCUAGAAGUGAGUAGAGGUAAAGUUCAUAAAAUAGUCCCUGCAAGGAUAUGCAAUCCGUUUGCUAAUUCUUUAUGUGCAUAUACUUCCAGAAGAUGUUUUGCCUUAUUGAUACGGUUUUGCAAGGAUCAGGGGGAGCAUAUUUCUAAAGUUAGCCUUUAUAGAAGAUUCAAUGGAAUCUAGAUCUAGAAGAUCGAAAUAUGUCAUGAUGACAAUUGUUGUACUCUUUUUCCUUGGUGAGUUUUCUUGAAGUUUCUCACAUGAGGUGUUUAACGAGUCAACAAAGUGCAAAUGCAAUUUGCGUCACCAUGUACUCUUUCUCCAUAUUUUCCCACUGGGUUUUUGGGAGUUUUAACGAGGCAUGUGCUGGUCGCGGUAUUCGCCCAAGGGGGAGUGUUGAGAAACCCUAAUGACGGGUUAUAUGGGCAAAUACCAAAUAUGCCCCUGAGGGCUAUCACGUCUCUAUAUAUAGAACAUUUACCCCUUCGUAUGGAAUAGAGAACAGAAAGAUGCCAAAGACCAACCCUAUAUCAUGUGUCUCGUGUGUUUCCUCUCUCGUGCUUAUGGGAAAGGAGACAGGUCCUCUACAGCUUCUUGCGCCUCUACUGUUGAUGGCAGGGAAGGAAGCAGAUCUGGUGAUCCGUGGUAAUGUAGUUACCAACACGGGUCCCAAACCGGUACCGAUUAUGCGUGGACGAUCAGUCUGCAUAGCUUGGAAUUUGGAAAUUUUGGUCUGCUUCAUUUUUUCUCUCGCUCAUUUUUGGCCCAACGGCCCAGCCCAUUGAGUAAAGCAACUGGUGCCCUAUAUGCAAAAAGACAGGACUGCCUCUGCACACCGCCACUCGCCCACACGCGAAGGCACCUAGCAGCCGCCACUCGCCGAACUGAGGAACACGCCGGGCGACGGGAUACAGCAGCAGCGCGCCCCUCUAUGCCCGACGCGACGGCGCCCUGCAGCUGCAGGCACGGCUCCACACCUCCACUCUUCUCCUCCGUCUCCGUUCAUCUCUGCUGAGUAGUUGUGGUUGUGGCGUGUGGAUUAAUCGCGAUUAAUCGAUCUGAUCGGCGCUCUGGCGAUCAGAAACGAUCGACCGAUUAGAAAACAUUGGUGCUCGGGCAUCCGCAUCUGUCAACACCCCCCUCUUGUUCUGUUCCGGUACUGCCUUUUCAGCCCUCGAGUCCUACUGUAGGUGUUGAAGUAGUAAUUUGUUUUGUGCGCGCAAGUUCGAUUUCAUGUCUGCAUGUCAAUAGCUUUCGAUUUUUUUGGUCAUCUAUUUAGUGCAGUUUUGAAGAAGUUCAUUUUUUUACCGAUUUUUCGUUACUCCAUCUGUGUGUGCCUGGGAAUUGCGGAUCCCCACCCACCCCACCACGUCUUCUGAAGGGAGUUCAAGAGGAAACCCUUGAAUUCUAUGGGGUUUGUCCGCUCUGAAAUUUCUUUUGCUACUUGUUUCGAUUUUUUCCGAAGUAUCCAAACAAGACCUCACGAAUCUGCUUAUGUAUCAAUAAUGUGGGUAUAUCUAUUUGUUUGUUCUCAUAGUCUGGCAUAUGUAUUAUAGAUAAACCUGUUCCAAUGGCCAAACAAAAAGAGGGUGUGGACAAAAGAACUGCUAGGAAGAUGAUCCGAUCUACGGAAGGCUGUGCAAAGAGCAUUACUUUCGAGAGGAACAACAAAUCAGACGCUGUGCAGCUUCACGAUCUGCCGAAUGUAAGAGUAAUUCGAAAUAGUUCAAUGCUCCUUUUGCAGUAAGCAUAUAUGUGAAAUGGUUCAAAAGAGUUUGAUAGGACCAGGUAAUCAGUGGUUCAGUUUACUCGGCUGCUUACUCACUUACUACGUGCAGGACAUCCUAGGUAGCAUACUAUCACGGUUGACAUUCAGAGAAUCCUCACAGAUGGGCCUUGUUUCUCAUACCUGGCGGCGGCUGUGGAGAAGCUGUUGCCGGAAACUGGUCUUCACCAGUGCCACCAUGUUCCAACCCGGAAAUAGGAGCAUCAAACAUACAAGGACCAACUUUGCCAUGAGAGUCAACAGUUUCUUGCGUCAGCUACACACUCAUCCUACUCUUAAUAAGUUUGUUAUUAAGUUCGGGCUGCGCAGGAAGCACACUCGCCAUGUCAACAGAUGGAUUCGCUUCUGCUCCGUGUCGCGAGCAAGACACAUCACUAUUAAUUUCACUCCUGGAGUGAAAGAUUUUUUCAUGGGUCCAGCCAACAGCAAGUACAUCUUCCCCCUGAACGUUUUCAGUGGUCCAGAAGGCUCCUCUACACAUGUCAGAACUCUUCAUCUGGGCUAUGUCUGUCUGGACACAACCUCGUCUGAUUUCAUGAUCUUUGCAAAUCUGAAGAAGCUCACUCUGCACAAAAUUUCCUUUUUGGGAGACCUCCAGUGCCUGAUGCUGCCAGAAUGCAAUUCUCUUGAGUGUCUGAGCAUCAGCUUCUGUUCCUUGCCUGGUUUAAGCACAUGCCAACCGCUGCAACGUCUGCGAUGUGUUCGUUUGCACUACUGCUAUCUAAAAAAGAUUGAGCUGGAAGCUCCAAAUCUAACAUCGUUUGACUUGACCAACCAACCAAUUCCAUUUGUGCUUGGUGGAUCUCUGAAUGUAAUGGAAGCCAACAUUAAACUGUUAGCUAAGGACUCACCUUAUGGUGAUAAUCUGGACUACAUCUACACUGAGCUUCCUGCUGCGCUGUCUCAUGUGCAUAAACUCUCGAUAACCUCGGGUCUCUUCGUUUUUGAUCAGGUUUUGUCUGUUGCUGAUAGCACUUAAGUUCAUUCAACUAUUACUUACCUUUAUUUGCACCUGACAUGUUUGUUCUUCAUCUCAUACAUAUUUUGACUC
rnacentral:lncRNA from 1 species